UGCUUGUGUGUAAUUAAUCUUUUUGUUGUGUGUGUGUGUGUGUCUUGUUGUUUCUCAGGGUCCCAGAGGCUUCACAGGUGUCAGAGGGCUUAAAGGAGAGAAAGGAGAAGUUAGGAUGAUCUGCACAAAGGGUGAAGCAUAUUCGCAGUUAAAGGAUUUUUUUUUUUUUAUAUCCAGAUUUUAAGACUCACCCAAAAUGGUCUAACAUCUAAGGAUAGGUUCUAUAUUAUAAUUCAGCAUGAACUGUUAAAUGCCUGAUAAUGAAACUAUAAUGCUGUUUUUUUAAUCCUUGAGAAUUAUGCCAGAAUUGUGAUUUAAAGUUUUAUGUUUCUUCAGAUUUUUCUUAAAUUAUCUAUCAAAUCUGUCAUCUUUAUUUUACAUACAACUGACAUGCAGUUAUCACAACUUUUUGCAUUAUGUUAAAGGGGAGAAAGGUGACGUUGGAUCUGUUGGUCCAUUUGGAAAACCAGGGUAUAAUGGGAGAAAAGGAGCUGAUGGGAAGAUGGGGGCCCUGGAGAUCCUGGAUCUAUGGUAAGACAUGUAAACAAUUAUAAAAUGAAAUUAAAAGUCAAUAAUAUAGUUAGUAGAAGUAGUACUGUACAUUCUACCAUGCAUUCAAUGAUUUCUGAAUAUCAUGUAAAACCAAGACUUGAGUAGUGUUUACAUUAGCAUCACAGGGAUAAAUUGCAUUUUAAAAAUAUAUUAAAGUAGUGUAAAAGGCCGCAGAGGUCCACCUGGUCCUCCUGGCCCAAAUAUGAUGGGGUCAGUUGGGCGACGGGGGGAACCAGGGGAACCAGGACCUCAAGGCCAGACGGGACCCCCUGGUUCUAAAGGCGUUCAAGGUGAUACCCCGCCCUGUGCACCUGGCAUACGUGGAGUCCCUGGUUCUAAAGGAAUGCCUGGACGUAAAGGUAAAUAUAUACUGAAGUAAUUUCUAAAUGAAAGAGUGAGAGGAUUCUCUCAGUUUGGUUGAAAAAAUAAAUGAUACAACUGAAGGAAUAAAAGUAUUGUAGAGGAAUAAAAGGAACUGAUUAUUGUAAAAGAGUAUUUAAUGUUAAAUUGAAUAAGAGUAUUUUACCUUUAAAGUGUAAAGUGUAAAAAAUAAAAGCGUAAUAAGUCUUUGUUAUAUAUGUUAAUAAUAUUAUAAAUUAGAUUAUAUUGUUAC
rnacentral:lncRNA from 1 species